AUUGAACGCUGGCGGCAUGCCUUACACAUGCAAGUCGAACGGCAGCACGGGUGCUUGCACCUGGUGGCGAGUGGCGAACGGGUGAGUAAUACAUCGGAACGUACCUUAUCGUGGGGGAUAACGCAGCGAAAGUUGCGCUAAUACCGCAUAAGCCCUGAGGGGGAAAGCGGGGGACCGUAAGGCCUCGCGCGAUUAGAGCGGCCGAUGUCUGAUUAGCUUGUUGGUGAGGUAAAAGCUCACCAAGGCGAUGAUCAGUAGCUGGUCUGAGAGGACGAUCGGCCACACUGGGACUGAGACACGGCGCAGACUCCUACGGGAGGCAGCAGUGGGGAAUUUUGGACAAUGGGGGCAACCCUGAUCCAGCAAUGCCGCGUGAGUGAAGAAGGCCUUCGGGUUGUAAAGCUCUUUUGUCAGGGAAGAAACAGCAGCUCUAACACAGUCUGCGAAUGACGGUACCUGAAGAAUAAGCACCGGCUAACUACGUGCCAGCCGCCGCCGUAA
rnacentral:rRNA from 1 species